rnacentral:rRNA from 1 species
GAAUUGACGGGGAGCACCACAACGGUGGAGCUUGCGGUUUAAUUGGAUUCAACGCCGGAAAUCUUACCGGGACCGACAGCAAUAUGAAGGCCAGGCUGAAGACUUUGCCGGAUUAGCUGAGAGGUGGUGCAUGGCCGUCGUCAGUUCGUACUGUGAAGCAUCCUGUUAAGUCAGGCAACGAGCGAGACCCACGCCCACAGUUGCCAGCGUACUCUCUGGAGUGACGGGUACACUGUGGGGACCGCCGCUGCUAAAGCGGAGGAAGGAAUGGGCAACGGUAGGUCAGUAUGCCCCGAAUAUCCCGGGCUACACGCGAGCUACAAUGGUUGGUACAAUGGGUAUCUACCCCGAAAGGGGACGGGAAUCUCCUAAAACCAAUCUUAGUUCGGAUUGAGGGCUGCAACUCGCCCUCAUGAAGCUGGAAUCCGUAGUAAUCGCGUUUCAACAGAACGCGGUGAAUACGUCCCUGCUCCUU